AUACGAAGGGUGCAAGCGUUAAUCGGAAUUACUGGGCGUAAAGCGCGCGUAGGUGGUUCGUUAAGUUGGAUGUGAAAGCCCCGGGCUCAACCUGGGAACUGCAUCCAAAACUGGCGAGCUAGAGUAUAGCAGAGGGUGGUGGAAUUUCCUGUGUAGCGGUGAAAUGCGUAGAUAUAGGAAGGAACACCAGUGGCGAAGGCGACCCCCUGGGCAAAACCUGACCUGGAGGGGCAAAAGCUGGGGGAGCAAACAGGAUUAGAUACCCGGGAAGUCCACGCCGUAAACGAUGUCGACUAGCCGUUGGGAUCCUUGAGAUCUUAGUGGCGCAGCUAACGCAUUAAGUCGACCGCCUGGGGAGUACGGCCGCAAGGUUAAAACUCAAAUGAAUUGACGGGG
rnacentral:rRNA from 1 species